rnacentral:rRNA from 1 species
GUUCCGCUGCUUUUGACCCGUCUUGGUGGCGAUGCGCAGCUGUGCAGUGUGGUGCUUCUGCGUUCCGCUGCUUUUGACCCGUCUUGGUGGCGAUGCGCAGCUGUGCAGUGUGGUGCUUCUGCGUUCCGCUGCUUUUGACCCGUCUUGGUGGCGAUGCGCAGCUGUGCAGUGUGGUGGUUCUGCGUUCCGCUGCUUUUGACCCGUCUUGGUGGCGAUGCGCAGCAGUGCAGUGUGGUGCUUCUGCGUUCCGCUGCUUUUGACCCGUCUUGGUGGCGAUGCGCAGCUGUGCAGUGUGGUGCUUCUGCGUUCCGCUGCUUUUGACCCGUCUUGGUGGCGAUGCGCAGCAGUGCAGUGUGGUGCUUCUGCGUUCCGCUGCUUUUGACCCGUCUUGGUGGCGAUGCGCAGCAGUGCAGUGUGGUGCUUCUGCGUUCCGCUGCUUUUGACCCGUCUUGGUGGCGAUGCGCAGCUGUGCAGUGUGGUGGUUCUGCGUUCCGCUGCUUUUGACCCGUCUUGGUGGCGAUGCGCAGCUGUGCAGUGUGGUGCUUCUGCGUUCUGCUGCUUUUGACCCGUCUUGGUGGCGAUGCGCAGCUGUGCAGUGUGGUGCUUCUGCGUUCCGCUGCUUUUGACCCGUCUUGGUGGCGAUGCGCAGCUGUGCAGUGUGGUGCUUCUGCGUUCCGCUGCUUUUGACCCGUCUUGGUGGCGAUGCGCAGCUGUGCAGUGUGGUGCUUCUGCGUUCCGCUGCUUUUGACCCGUCUUGGUGGCGAUGCGCAGCUGUGCAGUGUGGUGCUUCUGCGUUCCGCUGCUUUUGACCCGUCUUGGUGGCGAUGCGCAGCAGUGCAGUGUGGUGGUUCUGCGUUCCGCUGCUUUUGACCCGUCUUGGUGGCGAUGCGCAGCAGUGCAGUGUGGUGCUUCUGCGUUCCGCUGCUUUUGACCCGUCUUGGUGGCGAUGCGCAGCUGUGCAGUGUGGUGCUUCUGCGUUCCGCUGCUUUUGACCCGUCUUGGUGGCGAUGCGCAGCUGUGCAGUGUGGUGCUUCUGCGUUCCGCUGCUUUUGACCGUCUUGGUGGCGAUGCGCAGCUGUGCAGUGUGGUGCUUCUGCGUUCCGCUGCUUUUGACCCGUCUUGGUGGCGAUGCGCAGCUGUGCAGUGUGGUGCUUCUGCGUUCCGCUGCUUUUGACCCGUCUUGGUGGCGAUGCGCAGCUGUGCAGUGUGGUGCUUCUGCGUUCCGCUGCUUUUGACCCGUCUUGGUGGCGAUGCGCAGCAGUGCAGUGUGGUGGUUCUGCGUUCCGCUGCUUUUGACCCGUCUUGGUGGCGAUGCGCAGCAGUGCAGUGUGGUGCUUCUGGUCGGCUUUGACCGUCGUGGCGUGGCAGUGUGUCCGCGCCUGCUUUUGACCCGUCUUGGUGGCGAUGCGCAGCUGUGCAGUGUGGUGCUUCUGCGUUCCGCUGCUUUUGACCCGUCUUGGUGGCGAUGCGCAGCUGUGCAGUGUGGUGCUUCUGCGUUCCGCUGCUUUUGACCCGUCUUGGUGGCGAUGCGCAGCAGUGCAGUGUGGUGUUCUGCGUUCCGCUGCUUUUGACCCGUCUUGGUGGCGAUGCGCAGCAGUGCAGUGUGGUGCUUCUGCGUUCCGCUGCUUUUGACCCGUCUUGGUGGCGAUGCGCAGCUGUGCAGUGUGGUGCUUCUGCGUUCCGCUGCUUUUGACCCGUCUUGGGGCGAUGCGCAGCUGUGCAGUGUGGUGGCUUCUGCGUUCCGCUGCUUUUGACCCGUCUUGGUGGCGAUGCGCAGCUGUGCAGUGUGGUGCUUCUGCGUUCCGCUGCUUUUGACCCGUCUUGGUGGCGAUGCGCAGCUGUGCAGUGUGGUGCUUCUGCGUUCCGCUGCUUUUGACCCGUCUUGGUGGCGAUGCGCAGCAGUGCAGUGUGGUGCUUCUGCGUUCCGCUGCUUUUGACCCGUCUUGGUGGCGAUGCGCAGCUGUGCAGUGUGGUGCUUCUGCGUUCCGCUGCUUUUGACCCGUCUUGGUGGCGAUGCGCAGCAGUGCAGUGUGGUGGUUCUGCGUUCCGCUGCUUUUGACCCGUCUUGGUGGCGAUGCGCAGCUGUGCAGUGUGGUGCUUCUGCGUUCCGCUGCUUUUGACCCGUCUUGGUGGCGAUGCGCAGCAGUGCAGUGUGGUGGUUCUGCGUUCCGCUGCUUUUGACCCGUCUUGGUGGCGAUGCGCAGCAGUGCAGUGUGGUGCUUCUGCGUUCCGCUGCUUUUGACCCGUCUUGGUGGCGAUGCGCAGCUGUGCAGUGUGGUGCUUCUGCGUUCCGCUGCUUUUGACCCGUCUUGGUGGCGAUGCGCAGCUGUGCAGUGUGGUGCUUCUGCGUUCCGCUGCUUUUGACCCGUCUUGGUGGCGAUGCGCAGCAGUGCAGUGUGGUGGUUCUGCGUUCCGCUGCUUUUGACCCGUCUUGGUGGCGAUGCGCAGCUGUGCAGUGUGGUGCUUCUGCGUUCCGCUGCUUUUGACCCGUCUUGGUGGCGAUGCGCAGCAGUGCAGUGUGGUGGUUCUGCGUUCCGCUGCUUUUGACCCGUCUUGGUGGCGAUGCGCAGCAGUGCAGUGUGGUGCUUCUGCGUUCCGCUGCUUUUGACCCGUCUUGGUGGCGAUGCGCAGCUGUGCAGUGUGGUGCUUCUGCGUUCCGCUGCUUUUGACCCGUCUUGGUGGCGAUGCGCAGCUGUGCAGUGUGGUGCUUCUGCGUUCCGCUGCUUUUGACCCGUCUUGGUGGCGAUGCGCAGCUGUGCAGUGUGGUGCUUCUGCGUUCCGCUGCUUUUGACCCGUCUUGGUGGCGAUGCGCAGCUGUGCAGUGUGGUGGUUCUGCGUUCCGCUGCUUUUGACCCGUCUUGGGUGCUUCUGCGUUCCGCUGCUUUUGACCCGUCUUGGUGGCGAUGCGCAGCUGUGCAGUGUGGUGCUUCUGC